rnacentral:rRNA from 1 species
GGGUGAGUAACGCGUAUGCAACCUGCCCUGUACAGGGGGAUAGCCCGGAGAAAUCCGGAUUAAUACCCCAUAGUUUUUAUGAGUCGCAUGGCUUAUAAAAUAAAGUUUCGGCGGUACAGGAUGGGCAUGCGUGGCAUUAGCUAGUUGGUAAGGUAACGGCUUACCAAGGCGACGAUGCCUAGGGGUUCUGAGAGGAUGAUCCCCCACACUGGGACUGAGACACGGCCCAGACUCCUACGGGAGGCAGCAGUGAGGAAUAUUGGUCAAUGGGCGAGAGCCUGAACCAGCCAUCCCGCGUGCAGGAUGACGGCCCUACGGGUUGUAAACUGCUUUUAUGUACCAAGAAUAGGCGCUACGUGUAGUGUUAUGACGGUAGUACAUGAAUAAGCAUCGGCUAACUCCGUGCCAGCAGCCGCGGUAAUACGGAGGAUGCAAGCGUUAUCCGGAUUCAUUGGGUUUAAAGGGUGCGUAGGCGGUCUGAUAAGUCAGUGGUGAAAUGCUGCAGCUCAACUGUAGAACUGCCAUUGAAACUGUCAGACUUGAGUGCGCCUGAGGUAGGCGGAAUGAGUAGUGUAGCGGUGAAAUGCUUAGAUAUUACUCAGAACACCGAUUGCGAAGGCAGCUUACUAAAGCGUAACUGACGCUGAUGCACGAAAGCGUGGGGAGCGAACAGGAUUAGAUACCCUGGUAGUCCACGCCGUAAACGAUGAUAACUCGCUGUUGGCGAUACACAGUCAGCGGCUUAGCGAAAGCAUUAAGUUAUCCACCUGGGGAGUACGAUCGCAAGGUUGAAACUCAAAGGAAUUGACGGGGGCCCGCACAAGCGGAGGAACAUGUGGUUUAAUUCGAUGAUACGCGAGGAACCUUACCUGGGCUUAAAUGUGG